rnacentral:misc_RNA from 1 species
UCCUUAACAUCAAAAUCCCUUGUCCCUCCUUUUUCAUUCAGCAACUCCAAGAAUUCUUAAGUAAAGAGUUUGGCCUUUCUAUUUGCUCCUCUAACAAUUUAUCCAAUUUUUGCCAUCUUUGAUACAGCAACUCCUCUAAGCAUUUUUUUUACUCUUCUUUCAAAAAUUUCUAGCAUUCCCUUAAGAUCCUUUUGUUCCCAAGAUUGUAC